rnacentral:rRNA from 1 species
AACCUGCCCUUUAGUGGGGGAUAACAUUUGGAAACAGAUGCUAAUACCGCGUAACAACAAAUCACACAUGUGAUCUGUUUGAAAGGUCCUUUUGGAUCGCUAGAGGAUGGUCUUGCGGCGUAUUAGCUUGUUGGUAGGGUAGAAGCCUACCAAGGCAAUGAUGCGUAGCCGAGUUGAGAGACUGGCCGGCCACAUUGGGACUGAGACACUGCCCAAAACUUCUACGGGAGGCUGCAGUAGGGAAUUUUCCGCAAUGCACGAAAGUGUGACGGAGCGACGCCGCGUGUGUGAUGAAGGCUUUCGGGUCGUAAAGCACUGUUGUAAGGGAAGAAUAACUGAAUUCAGAGAAAGUUUUCAGCUUGACGGUACCUUACCAGAAAGGGAUGGCUAAAUACGUGCCAGCAGCCGCGGUAAUACGUAUGUCCCGAGCGUUAUCCGGAUUUAUUGGGCGUAAAGCGAGCGCAGACGGUUUAUUAAGUCUGAUGUGAAAUCCCGAGGCCCAACCUCGGAACUGCAUUGGAAACUGAUUUACUUGAGUGCGAUAGAGGCAAGUGGAACUCCAUGUGUAGCGGUGAAAUGCGUAGAUAUGUGGAAGAACACCAGUGGCGAAAGCGGCUUGCUAGAUCGUAACUGACGUUGAGGCUCGAAAGUAUGGGUAGCAAACGGGAUUAGAUACCCCGGUAGUCCAUACCGUAAACGAUGGGUGCUAGUUGUUAAGAGGUUUCCGCCUCCUAGUGACGUAGCAAACGCAUUAAGCACCCCGCCUGAGGAGUACGGCCGCAAGGCUAAACUUAAAGGAAUUGACGGGGACCCGCACAAGCGGUGGAGCAUGUGGUUUAAUUCGAGAUACG